GACAGAGGGUGCAAACGUUGUUCGGAAUUACUGGGCGUAAAGCGCGUGUAGGCGGCUUUGUAAGUCGGGUGUGAAAGCCCUGGGCUCAACCCAGGAAGUGCAUUCGAUACUACGGAGCUGGAGUCUCGGAGAGGAUAGCGGAAUUCUCGGUGUAGAGGUGAAAUUCGUAGAUAUCGAGAGGAACACCGGUGGCGAAGGCGGCUAUCUGGACGGUGACUGACGCUGAGACGCGAAAGCGUGGGGAGCGAACAGG
rnacentral:rRNA from 1 species